CAGUAGCCGCGGUAAUACGUAGGUGGCAAGCGUUGUCCGGAAUUAUUGGGUGUAAAGGGCUCGCAGGCGGUUUCUUAAGUCUGAUGUGAAAGCCCCCGGCUCAACCGGGGAGGGUCAUUGGAAACUGGGAAACUUGAGUGCAGAAGAGGAGAGUGGAAUUCCACGUGUAGCGGUGAAAUGCGUAGAGAUGUGGAGGAACACCAGUGGCGAAGGCGACUCUCUGGUCUGUAACUGACGCUGAGGAGCGAAAGCGUGGGGAGCGAACAGAAUUAGAUACCCCCGUAGUCCCUGUCUCUUAUAA
rnacentral:rRNA from 1 species